rnacentral:rRNA from 1 species
GAUGAACGCUGGCGGUCUGCUUAACACAUGCAAGUCGAACGGAAUCCUUAGGGAUUUAGUGGCGGACGGGUGAGUAACACGUAAGAACCUGCCUCUAGGACGGGGACAACAGUUGGAAACGACUGCUAAACCCGGAUGAGCCGAAAGGUAAAAGAUUAAUCGCCUAGAGAGGGGCUUGCGUCUGAUUAGCUAGUUGGUGAGGUAAGAGCCCACCAAGGCGACGAUCAGUAGCUGGUCUGAGAGGAUGAUCAGCCACACUGGGACUGAGACACGGCCCAGACUCCUACGGGAGGCAGCAGUGGGGAAUUUUCCGCAAUGGGCGAAAGCCUGACGGAGCAAGACCGCGUGGGGGAGGAAGGUUCUUGGAUUGUCAACCCCUUUUCUCAGGGAAGAACACAAUGACGGUACCUGAGGAAAAAGCAUCGGCUAACUCCGUGCCAGCAGCCGCGGUAAUACGGGGGAUGCAAGCGUUAUCCGGAAUGAUUGGGCGUAAAGAGUCCGUAGGUAGUCAUCCAAGUCUGCUGUUAAAGAGCGAGGCUUAACCUCGUAAAGGCAGUGGAAACUGGAAGACUAGAGUGUAGUAGGGGCAGAGGGAAUUCCUGGUGUAGCGGUGAAAUGCGUAGAGAUCAGGAAGAACACCGGUGGCGAAGGCGCUCUGCUGGGCUAUAACUGACACUGAGGGACGAAAGCUAGGGGAGCGAAUGGGAUUAGAUACCCCAGUAGUCCUAGCGGUAAACGAUGGAAACUAGGUGUGGCCUGUAUCGACCCGGGCCGUGCCGAAGCAAACGCGUUAAGUUUCCCGCCUGGGGAGUACGCACGCAAGUGUGAAACUCAAAGGAAUUGACGGGGGCCCGCACAAGCGGUGGAGUAUGUGGUUUAAUUCGAUGCAACGCGAAGAACCUUACCAGGACUUGACAUCUCUGGAAUCUCCUUGAAAGGGGAGAGUGCCGUAAGGAACCNGAAGACAGGUGCUGCAUGGCUGUCGUCAGCUCGUGUCGUGAGAUGUUGGGUUAAGUCCCGCAACGAGCGCAACCCUCGUCGUUAGUUGCCAUCAUUAAGUUGGGAACUCUAGCGAGACUGCCGGUGACAAACCGGAGGAAGGUGAGGAUGACGUCAAGUCAGCAUGGCCCUUACGUCCUGGGCGACACACGUACUACAAUGCGAGGGACACAGAGCAGCCAACCCGCGAGGGAGAGCGAAUCUCACAAACCCUGGCACAGUUCAGAUUGCAGGCUGCAACUCGCCUGCAUGAAGGAGGAAUCGCUAGUAAUCGCAGGUCAGCAUACUGCGGUGAAUCCGUUCCCGGGCCUUGUACACACCGCCCGUCACACCAUGGAAGUGAGCCACGCCCGAAGUCAUUACUCUAACCCUUUCGGGGGAGGAGGGUGCCGAAGGCGGGGUUGAUGACUGGGGUGAA